CUUGGUCAUUUAGAGGAAGUAAAAGUCGUAACAAGGUUUCCGUAGGUGAACCUGCGGAAGGAUCAUUAGUGAAUUAAACAUGCUUGGUGUCUUCGCUUCGGCAAGGCCCUUGCUUAACUCACAUCCCAACACCUGUGAACUGUAAGGCGCAUGACUAGGUUCGCCCAAGUCAUCGUCUGCCCUUUUUAACAAACAAUUAAUGUAACAAACGUAGUCUUAUUAUAACCUAAUAAAACUUUCAACAACGGAUCUCUUGGCUCUCGCAUCGAUGAAGAACGCAGCGAAAUGCGAUAAGUAAUGUGAAUUGCAGAAUUCAGUGAAUCAUCGAAUCUUUGAACGCACCUUGCGCUCUUUGGUAUUCCGAAGAGCAUGCCUGUUUGAGUGUCAUGAAAAUAUCAACCUUGACUUGGGUUUUGUGCUCUAGUCUCGGCUUGGAAUUGGGUGCUUGCCGCUUUUACGAGCGGCUCACCUUAAAUGUAUUAGCUGGAUCUGUCUUUGAGACUUGGUUUGACUUGGCGUAAUAAGUAUUUCGCUAAGGACAUUCUUCGGAGUGGCCUCGUUUCUAGGACGCUUGUCCGCUUUCCAAUACAAGUUCCACCUUGUGGACAUGACUUCUUAUUAUCUGGCCUCAAAUCAGGUAGGACUACCCGCUGAACUUAAGCAUAUCAAUAAGCGGAGGAAAAGAAACUAACAAGGAUUCCCCUAGUAACGGCGAGUGAAGCGGGAAAAGCUCAAAUUUGAAAUCUGGCAGCCUCAGGUUGCCCGAGUUGUAAUCUAUAGAAACGUUUUCUGCGCCGGCCCAUGUACAAGUCCCUUGGAACAGGGCGUCAUAGAGGGUGAGAAUCCCGUCCUUGACACGGACCACCGGUGCUUUGUGAUACGUUUUCAACGAGUCGAGUUGUUUGGGAAU
rnacentral:sRNA from 1 species